rnacentral:rRNA from 1 species
CAUAGGUUAAUGAGGCGAACCGGGGGAACUGAAACAUCUAAGUACCCCGAGGAAAAGAAAUCAACCGAGAUUCCCCCAGUAGCGGCGAGCGAACGGGGAGGAGCCCAGAGCCUGAAUCAGUGUGUGUGUUAGUGGAAGCGUCUGGAAAGGCGCGCGAUACAGGGUGACAGCCCCGUACACAAAAAUGCACAUACUGUGAGCUCGAUGAGUAGGGCGGGACACGUGGUAUCCUGUCUGAAUAUGGGGGGACCAUCCUCCAAGGCUAAAUACUCCUGACUGACCGAUAGUGAACCAGUACCGUGAGGGAAAGGCGAAAAGAACCCCGGCGAGGGGAGUGAAAAAGAACCUGAAACCGUGUACGUACAAGCAGUGGGAGCACAGAGCAAUCUGUGUGACUGCGUACCUUUUGUAUAAUGGGUCAGCGACUUAUAUUCUGUAGCAAGGUUAACCGAAUAGGGGAGCCGAAGGGAAACCGAGUCUUAACUGGGCGUUAAGUUGCAGGGUAUAGACCCGAAACCCGGUGAUCUAGCCAUGGGCAGGUUGAAGGUUGGGUAACACUAACUGGAGGACCGAACCGACUAAUGUUGAAAAAUUAGCGGAUGACUUGUGGCUGGGGGUGAAAGGCCAAUCAAACCGGGAGAUAGCUGGUUCUCCCCGAAAGCUAUUUAGGUAGCGCCUCGUGAAUUCAUCUCCGGGGGUAGAGCACUGUUUCGGCAAGGGGGUCAUCCCGACUUACCAACCCGAUGCAAACUGCGAAUACCGGAGAAUGUUAUCACGGGAGACACACGGCGGGUGCUAACGUCCGUCGUGAAGAGGGAAACAACCCAGACCGCCAGCUAAGGUCCCAAAGUCAUGGUUAAGUGGGAAACGAUGUGGGAAGGCCCAGACAGCCAGGAUGUUGGCUUAGAAGCAGCCAUCAUUUAAAGAAAGCGUAAUAGCUCACUGGUCGAGUCGGCCUGCGCGGAAGAUGUAACGGGGCUAAACCAUGCACCGAAGCUGCGGCAGCGACGCUGAUGCGUUGUUGGGUAGGGGAGCGUUCUGUAAGCCUG